UACGGAGGGUGCGAGCGUUGUCCGGAAUCACUGGGCGUAAAGGGCGCGUAGGCGGCGCGGGGAGUCAACGGUGAAAGCUCGGCGCCCAACGCCGAGUCGGCCGUCGAUACUCCCGUGCUCGAGCACUGUAGAGGCAGGUGGAAUUCCGGGUGUAGCGGUGGAAUGCGUAGAGAUCCGGAAGAACACCGGUGGCGAAGGCGGCCUGCUGGGCAGUAGCUGACGCUGAGGCGCGACAGCGUGGGGAGCAAACAGG
rnacentral:rRNA from 1 species